UAGUUUAAGUUCAUGUAAAAUCUUGUUAUCGUGACCUGAAGCUGCAGACUUCCUGUGGCGCCUGUGAUGUCACGGCGUGGGCGCCUGAUCUGCGUUCUGAUUGGCUGCUGAGGAUCUUCUGCUCUCAGUUUCCACAGGAUGCGGUCGCUGAGCGUCACAGGCGAGGGCGGCUGCGGCUGGCGCCUCAAAGCCCGCUGGGACAGGAAGCCGGCGGGGCGGGGCUGAGAAACCGGGCCAGAACAGAACCGGAGCGGGUCACACGCUUCCUGCCGCCGCCAACAUGGUGAGAACGCAGCAGGCGAACGAUCAGCAGCUGCAGAAACAUCCAGGAAACAUUCAGAGCCACAGUGGAGCAGCAGAGCAGGGGGAGCUGCUGUGGAUCCUGUAAUGAUUCCUGGCGGAUCUGCAGGAAUUUUCCUGGUUCCUCCUGGAGUUCAACUCGUCUCUGAAUGUUUGGCAUCAUUUGUCUCACCUGUCCAGGUGAACCAGCUGAUGCAGAACCUUCAGAGCUGAGUCACAUCAGGAGCAGCAGAGUUUCCUGAACCCGAGACGAUUCUCUGCUCUGGUUUCUCUAAAGGUCAACGGAAACAUUUCUCAGCCGCCUUCAGACUGGAAACAACAAACCAGCAGCAACAAAACACAGAAGUGUCUGGAUCACCAGCUGGUGAAGAAUACAGAGAUGAAUCUGAUGAUCUGAACUGAAACAUCUGGACCUGAAAUAAACCAAUAGAAAUGAAAACAUCCCAGAAUUCCUCCGUUUUCUUUCUUCUGUGUUUUUAUUUAUGAUUUGAAUCAAAUCAUUUCAAUGGAAUCUGAAGGCGGCUGCUAGGACUCCUGCUUCCUGCAGGUGGCGUCCUUCAUGCUGGCUGUUUUUCUGUUUUAUUGGACAACAGCGUCAUCAAGUGGAUGUUUAAAGAACUGCAGCUCAGCGGAGGGAUGGAAACUGCUCAGUGUUUCUGUUUUCUGCUUGUAUUUGAUGUAUUUAUGAUUUUCUAAUAACCAGAAUGAUACUGGAGGUGAAGUGAUCCUCAAUAAAAACUUCCAGUUUAACCACCAACACGGAUGUUUCCAACAAACUCCCUCAGGAAACUCCUGCCCAGCAGGGGGCGCUGUAAAAACCACGAGGAAAAGAGGAGUUGUUACUGAUGUGUCUGAUUUAGAUUUCAAUGAAAAACUUUUUUCACUGUUUUAACGUUUUAGGAUGAACUGCCUGUUUCCCUCCUGCUCACAGAAACCUGUUUAUAACUGAAGACAAUCAGAGAAACGCUCGGCUGGUCGACGGAUCAGAACCUGACCGCAGCAACCAGCAGGUAUAACCUGCUACAUUUUCCAUAAAUCUUUGGCGCUCCACAAAGUGACAAACAUCUGGAAAUAUUUGUUGCCCAAAUCUGAUGAGGAUCUAAAUGAUUUCAGGCUGAAGUUCUGACUUGUUCUAAAAUGGAAACGUUUUGUGAAAUGGGAAGUUAUUUUCUGGAUCUGCUCCAGUUCCAGAGCAGGAAGUUGGUGCUGCUGCAGCACUUAGUGUGGCACAAAGUGGCGCAGAAGCUUUUCAUGGAUUUUUCAUCUGCCUUUAAUCCAGCAUCAUAUUUGCUGAGAUCCAGAGAUGUGAAUAUUGACCUGAAGUUGUGACUUUUUCACAGUGACCCUCAUCUGGUCAGAGACACGUUGUCUGACGCUGAGGAGUCGCCACACUUUGAUCAUCUCUGUUGUUCUUUACACAUAUUCCUGCCAAAUGUUCCUCCAGACUGUCACCAGCUUCAAUGUUGAUUAUAUAUUUAUGAAAAUGUUUGUAACCCAGUUUGUAAAAUCUGGCCUUUACUGCAGAACCAUCAGUCACAUGACGCAUUCAGCCAAUCACGGCGUCCGGAUGGUCAUUUGGGCUCCGGGUGUGAAGGGAGAGCUGGAGACAAAACAGUUUCUACUCCCAGACAUCCAGAUGGUUCCUUCAUGUUCUUCAUUCACUUUAAGACUCACAGUAUGAACAGGAUUCAGAUCUGAACCAGUUCAGCUUGGAGCCGUUAAUCUGACUUGGACUGAACUGAGUGGAGUCAGUUAGUAGUGGAUGAAAUGUUUGUUGUUUAGCAAUAACCAAUAAUAAUUGGUUAUUGCUUCGUUGAACUUAUUAAAAGAUGCAGCGCCACCGCCACCUACUGGCCGCUUUUGGUACUGAAGCAUCUGCUGUCCAGGGCAGAUCCAUUAAAUCUGAAGGCAUCAAAUAUGUCAAAUAAAUUCAGUUCAAAUAUAAAAAUAAACAUUAUGGGGAUGAAAUCAGAGGAAACGUUUAAAACAGGGAUGAAAAAUCAGCUCUGAAUAAAAAACAAACUUUAAAAGAAACAAUAUUUCUGUAAACCAGGUGAGUCAACAGGAGACUGAAGGCCUAACAGAGGAAAUCUGAAAGAAUCCAUAAAAAUAACAACAAUAAACAUAAAAUACACUGAAUAACUGAAAAGGACACAGAAAAACUACUGGAUGUAAAAGUAAAGCUGUGAUGUUUAAAACUUCUCCUGUUGAAACAUUAAAGCUCUCAGGAGCUUUUAAAGCAGAAAUGAUCUGGAACCGGUCCAGUUAUGAUCACAUGAAUCAAAUAUGAAAACGCUGCAGCUGAAACGCCUGAAACAGAAAAUAUGACUGCAAGAGUUUUCACCACAUGAUGGCGCUGUGGACCCAUGAACAGGUGAGCCGAUGCCAGCAGUGAGGUUCUGAUCCGAGAUGGGUUCAGAGAUGGG